rnacentral:rRNA from 1 species
UACAGAGGGUGCAAGCGUUAAUCGGAAUUACUGGGCGUAAAGCGCGCGUAGGUGGAUAAGUAAGUUGGAUGUGAAAUCCCCGGGCUCAACCUGGGAACUGCAUUCAAAACUGCUUUUCUAGAGUAUGGUAGAGGGAAGUGGAAUUUCCGGUGUAGCGGUGAAAUGCGUAGAUAUCGGAAGGAACACCAGUGGCGAAGGCGACUUCCUGGACUAAUACUGACACUGAGGUGCGAAAGCGUGGGGAGCAAACAGG